UACGAAUAAUACAGCAAGAACGGGUCAGCACGUAUCAUUUUGCAAUUCGGCAAGGCCCCAUGGUUCCCUGGUUGUGCUUACCCCUAUAAAUUCACAACCUUCCACGCUGCCCAUUCUCCUCUGACAAGAUGUUCCCAGCGUCUGUUCCCAUACCGAAAUGCAGAGUUUUCUCUUGUUUUAAUUGGGAGAAAGCCUUCCGUGUAGACCACCACGCUCACUGGUGGAGCGAUCUCACUCAUCACUUCUCUGUGUCUAUUUUUUUCGUCACUUAAAAUAAUUGUCUGUUUGGUUUCCGGGAAAUACGACUAAUCCAUAGGAAAUUAAAAUUUUUGAAUCAUCUUCUAUUCUUGAAGCUAAUUAGCAUUUGCCCGUUGGUUUAGUCACUCUAAAACAAAAGAUCAAUACGUUCUUUUAAUUUCCUGAUUUUUCAAGUCGUUUAAUGUUCGGGUUUAUCUUUAAUUUCACACAGCUUUGGGGAAAACAGAGUUUGCAAUGAAAUGGCAAAAGCUCCCACUCCUGAGGUUUUAAGGCGAGGAAUUCUGCUGGCAAAAUCAAAACUACUACAACUUAAGAUUGAGUUUAGUUGUUGAGAAGUGUUGAGCGUUGUGCCUUCGCCGGACGAUUUUUUUUCCCCUCCCUCGUUGUGCCGUCUUCGCCCCUCCGACGACUAUCUGGAUCUUCCGACGAAGUUGACCGGCCGAACAAACUCACACCCAGUAGAAAAGAAAGUAACCAUCUUGGAUAGAAGGGAACGACGGUUUGAGGAGAGACUUCUCAGAAAUCACUCCCGAAUAAUUUUCUUUUGUGGGAUCAGUAUCAAGAAACCAAAUCGAAGUCUUUCUGCUCCUGGAUUUUAUUGUUCUCCUUCCUUGCGUGAUUCAUGAUUAUGGAUGUCUCAGUGAUAAAGUCGGAUGCUUUUGGACCUGGCUAUAAACUGGAAUAUUUUAUAGACUACAUGUUAUUCUUUUUGCCUUCUGUUUUUUAACAUCUUCAUUUGAUUCUCCAAUUGAGCUCUCACAUGUAAAUUCUACUUAUGUCAGAUUUUAUAAAAGUGAUGAGUUAAAUGUGUAUUGAA